UAUGCAAGAAAGGGCGUUUGUUUCUGCGGUUCGAAAUAGCGUCAAAAGUUAUCUUCCAGCCGACACUAUUUCUUACCUCAUUGACGAAACACUUUUAUUCUCACCG
rnacentral:pre_miRNA from 1 species